rnacentral:rRNA from 1 species
UGAGGAAUAUUGGUCAAUGGGCGAGAGCCUGAACCAGCCAUGCCGCGUGCAGGAAGACGGCCCUAUGGGUUGUAAACUGCUUUUAUGUGAGGAUAAACCUAUUCUUGCGAGAGUAGCUGAAGGUAUCACAUGAAUAAGGAUCGGCUAACUCCGUGCCAGCAGCCGCGGUAAUACGGAGGAUUCGAGCGUUAUCCGGAUUUAUUGGGUUUAAAGGGUGCGUAGGCGGACCAAUAAGUCAGUGGUGAAAUAAAUCAGCUUAACUGAUGCACUGCCAUUGAUACUGUUGGACUAGAAUAUAAAUGGGGCAGGCGGAAUGAAUCAUGUAGAGGUGAAAUUCAUAGAUAUGAGUCAGAACACCGAUCGCGAAGGCAGCUUGCAAAGAUAUUAUUGACGCUGAUGCACGAAAGCGUGGGGAGCGAACA